ACCUACGGGGCGCAGCAGUGGGGGAUAUUGCACAAUGGGGGGAACCCUGAUGCAGCGACGCCGCGUGGGUGAAGGAGCGUUUCGGCGCGUAAAGCCCUAUCGGCAGGGAAGAAGAUGACGGUACCUGACCAAGAAGCCCCGGCUAACUACGUGCCAGCAGCCGCGGGAAUACGUAGGGGGCAAGCGUUAUCCGGAUUUAGUGGGUGGAAAGGGGGCGCAGACGGCAAUGCAAGCCAGGAGGGAAAGGCCGGGGGCCAACCCCGGGAUGGCUCUUGG
rnacentral:rRNA from 1 species